GGCUCUGUGCCGCAAUGGAUAGCGCAUUGGACUUCUAAUUCAAAGGUUGUGGGUUCGAGUCCCACCAGAGUCG